GAUGAACGCUGGCGGCGUGCCUAAUACAUGCAAGUCGAACGAAAAGACGAGGAGCCUGCCUCUUUGACGUUAGCGGGGCACGCGUGAGUAACACGUGUAUAAAACUCCCAUAUGACGGGGGUAAAUUCGUGAAAACGGAGCUAAAAACCGACAAUAUAUUCAACCGCAUGGUGGAGGAGCGAAAGGCGGUUUGCCUUCCACUUAUAGAUGAAGCGACGCGGUAUUAGCUAGUGGGUAGGGUAACGGCUUACCAAGGCAACGAUGCGUAGCCGACCUGAGAGGGUGAUCGGCCACACUGGAACUGAGACACGGUCCAGACUCCUACGGGAGGCAGCAGUGGGGAAUCUUCCGCAAUGGGCGCAAGCCUGACGGAGCAACGCCGCGUGUGUGAUGAAGGUCUUCGGGUCGUAAAAUUCUGUUAUCGGGGAGGAACGAAUGUGUGAGAAUAUAUUCACGUAUUGACGGUACCUGAAGAGAAAGCCACGGCUAACUCCGUG
rnacentral:rRNA from 1 species